UACCUCUCUCUGGAUCACCAAUCAUAGUGGAGACCACCUUUGCACAAAUAGUUGUCUCCUACAACACUCCCUACAAUGUGACCAUCAGAGCUGUCAACUGUGCUGGAAUGAGUCAAGAAAGUCAAAUUGUGGAUCUAAUGAUAUGCCCUACACCAUCUACUGCUGUUGGGAUGCUUAUCACCAACACACCUCCUGUCACUAUUGGUGGAUCCAUGCUCACCUUCACUUGCAGUGGAGACAGUGAAGUGAGAACCUCAACCUGUGGUAGUAGUGGGUGGUCUCCUGACCCUGAGACCUUCGACUGAAGCAGUCCAGUUACAGUUCCCCAAGUCAGCUGUGGUUCUCCUGCUAUACCAUCUAGAGGUAGUUUGGACAUCAAUGGUGGGACACCACCCUUCUCACUGAGUUCACAAGUCAUCUAUCGCUGUGAUGAGGGACUGUUCCCUCCUGAUGUGAGGACCAGCACAUGCACUGAUGUGGGGGGUAGGGGAGAGUGGGUGGACAAUCCUGGGAGCUUGGUGUGCAGAGAGAGGCCAGGUGAAAUGUAGUUGGGCCAAGCCAACUUCUAGGCAGGCCAGUAAAAAAAUCUGGAGAGUGGGAGUUUUUAGACUCUUAAAUUGUUAGGCUUCCUAAACCACACUGAGUUUUGUGGUAACC